UACGGGGGGGGCAAGCGUUGUUCGGAAUUACUGGGCGUAAAGGGCUCGUAGGCGGCCAACUAAGUCAGACGUGAAAUCCCUCGGCUUAACCGGGGAACUGCGUCUGAUACUGGAUGGCUUGAGAUUGGGAGAGGGAUGCGGAAUUCCAGGUGUAGCGGUGAAAUGCGUAGAGAUGUGGAGGAACACCGAUGGCGAAGGCAGCCCCCUGGGCCAAUACUGACGCUCAUGCACGAAAGCGUGGGGAGCAAACAGG
rnacentral:rRNA from 1 species